GACUUUCUCGACUCGUCGUCAGCCGGGGCCGCAGCGCGGCCGGUGGGGACUGCGGGGCGGGCCGGAGUCCGUCCGAGGGCUCCCGCACCUCGGGCUGCGGCACCAGACAUGUUGGCAUCAUCUCUUAGUUGGGCCAUGUGGCCAGGGAACCCUUCAUGAAACCACCUCUGCAGUCCUGGAGAGUUGCUGUAGAAGAAGGAAAAGAGAGGAAGACAACACAACACAGGAGGGGAUAAGUACCUCUGGACACAAUGGAAGUAGUAGUUGUUGAGCAGAGGGAAAGGGAUAGGAGAAGGAUGUGGACUGCAGUGCUGCAGUGCCAGGUAAUAACUUUGAUCAUGUACCUCCU
rnacentral:lncRNA from 1 species